rnacentral:rRNA from 1 species
UGGCGGCGUGCUUAACACAUGCAAGUCGAACGAGACGAAUUAGAAGCUUGCUUUUAUUGAGUCGAGUGGCAAACGGGUGAGUAACGCGUAGACAACCUGCCGCAAAGAUGGGGACAACAGUCCGAAAGGACUGCUAAUACCGAAUGUUGUAUCUCCACCGCAUGGAAGAGAUAUUAAAGAUGGCCUCUACUUGUAAGCUAUCGCUUUGCGAUGGGUCUGCGUCUGAUUAGCUUGUUGGCGGGGUAACGGCCCACCAAGGCAACGAUCAGUAGGGGUUCUGAGAGGAAGGUCCCCCACAUUGGAACUGAGACACGGUCCAAACUCCUACGGGAGGCAGCAGUAAGGAAUAUUGGUCAAUGGGCGAGAGCCUGAACCAGCCAAGUAGCGUGCAGGAUGACGGCCCUAUGGGUUGUAAACUGCUUUUAUAAGGGAAUAAAGUGAGUCUCGUGAGACUUUUUGCAUGUACCUUAUGAAUAAGGACCGGCUAAUUCCGUG